AUGAACGCUGGCGGCGUGCCUAAUCCCUGCAAGUCGAGCGAACGGACGAGAAGCUUGCUUCUCUGAUGUUAGCGGCGGACGGGUGAGUAACACGUGGAUAACCUACCUAUAAGACUGGGAUAACUUCGGGAAACCGGAGCUAAUACCGGAUGAUAUUUUGAACCGCAUGGUUCAAAAGUGAAAGACGGUCUUGCUGUCACUUAUAGAUGGAUCCGCGCUGCAUUAGCUAGUUGGUAAGGUAACGGCUUACCAAGGCAACGAUGCAUAGCCGACCUGAGAGGGUGAUCGGCCACACUGGAACUGAGACACGAUCCAGACUCCUACGGGAGGCAGCAGUAGGGAAUCUUCCGCAAUGGGCGAAAGCCUGACGGAGCAACGCCGCGUGAGUGAUGAAGGUCUUCGGAUCGUAAAACUCUGUUAUUAGGGAAGAACAUAUGUGUAAGUAACUGUGCACAUCUUGACGGUACCUAAUCAGAAAGCCACGGCUAACUACGUG
rnacentral:rRNA from 1 species